rnacentral:rRNA from 1 species
CCUACGGGAGGCUGCAGUGGGGAAUAUUUCUCAAUUUUCUAAAUCCUUACUCCGCGCCGCCGCGUGCGGGAUGAAGGUCUUCGGAUCGUAAACCUCUGUCAGCAGGGAAGUACGGUCACUGUGCUAAUCAGCAGUGAAUUGACGGUACCUGCAAAGGAAGCACCGGCUAACUCCGUGCCAGCAGCCGCGGUAAUACGGAGGGUGCGAGCGUUAAUCGGAAUUACUGGGCGUAAAGCGCUCGUAGGCGGUAUGUCAAGUCAAGGGUGAAAUCCCCGCGCUCAACGUGGGAACUGCCUUUGAAACUGGCAAACUGGAGUGUGUGAGAGGAUAGUGGAAUUCCAGGUGUAGGAGUGAAAUCCGUAGAUAUCUGGAGGAACAUCAGUGGCGAAGGCGACUAUCUGGCACAUAACUGACGCUGAGGAGCGAAAGCGUGGGUAGCAAACAGGAUUAGAUACCCCUGUAGUC